AUUGAUUCUACAACUUUUGGUAGAAAAAUGACAUUUUGUGGAAGAAAGACGAGUGAUCGACUCGUAUAACUGGUUAGUUCCUUGCCAAUAAUUUCAUCUUCCCAUAUAUUUUCAAACAUAUUCAAUACAUACGCAAACCAAACCAUAAUUCAUGUACAGCUCAUGUAUCGCACGUGGCAUAGACUAGUUCUUAUUAAAACCUUUCAUAUCAUACCCCCUUCCACUAUCCGCAUCCCACCCUAAUCGUGCCUCCUCCUCUACCCCCACCAAAUUUUCCUCUCUCUACAUAAAUAACAAAAGAUUCGCAAUGCUCUUUCUCCCUGUAUGUAUAUUUGUGUGAAAAACAAUGAAUGAUGUCAAAUAAACAUCAAUCAAUAAAAAUCUAAUUACCCAAAAAAAAAUGCUAAAACUAGAAAAAUUAGUUAACCAUUUACAUCAUCCAUCUGCCCUUGUAAUUUUGGGUUUCUCUUAUCAUAGCUUCUCAAUGAAAAUCAAAUUAUAAAUUAUAAGUUCUAGUCAUGGAUUUUAAAUUUCACCAAUUACAUAUGCAUAUUGAAGAAAAACAAACUCUUCUCUGCGUCUAAAAUUUUGUCCAUGUACAGUAUACAGAGAGGAAGAAUCUCCUUGCAUCUAAAACUGUUUAUUUGUAUAGUAUGUGUAAGAAUUGGUUCAAAUAAUUAACAAAAAAUUGGAAAAUAAAAAAGUGUGUAAAAGUGAAAAAUGAAAAGGUGUGACUACGUGUCAACUUCGAUCAAAUAUUCAGACUUGAUCCGAUUGUCAAACUAUAAAAGUAAAUAGACCAACUUAUUCUACUCGUCGAGUAGAUUGUCGUGGUAUAUUUGGAAUCUCAAAAUCAAUUCCGAAUAAAUGAGAAAUUGCGAACUAAAGUUGAAAGAAAUAAAGUGUUGCAAUUUUUCGAAAGGAUGCAGGUUUUGGCUCACACUACUUCAUUUGCACCCUUUCUACAUCUAUAAAUAGAAUCCUAUGGAUAUGGUUUUGGAUACAUCAAUUGCAUUGAAUAUUUAUUCUCCUCUUGCAAUUCUCCCCUUUCUAAUUCCAUAGCAUUUUCAUACAUUUCUUUUGUAGAGGGAAAAUUCUGUCAAAAGUUCGUCGGUUUCUUGUGGUUUGUAGUGCUGCUACCACAAAUUGUGAAUCCAUUGUAUCUUGGAAGACAAGUGUCAUUCACCGUGAGCACCGUAGCGGGGUAAUUUGUCUUAAGGAAAGAGAUAACGUCUCGCCUUGGAUUAUUUUCCAUUUCUACUCCUUCUUAAUCCUUGUUUUGCGUAAUCGUUAUACCGAAACUCUGUCCAAAUUUCUAUUCAUAUAAAUUGUGUUUUGAUCACCCUCUUGUGGGUUAAAACUGGUCAAACAAAUAUAUCAAAAAUUAACCCUUACAUAGCCCUUUUUAUAAAUCGUAUCCAACAAACUUAAGACAAAUUUUUGUGUCUUUGUGGUUGGUUGUGGACAACCAUUACUUUGUUUAAAUAGUGCUUGUGUACUAUUCUUCUACUGAUAUUAUCAUCAUUUUGUUGAAUUUCUAUUUGUAUAGCAGAAAUGACUACCAUCGGGACUUCAUCAAGUCAAAAUGGUUCCAAUAAUAUAGUACCAUCCGUAGCCAUAUCGUUGCAUAAUACUACUCUCCUACAUGAGAAAAAGUUGAAAAAAUUUGCAGGAGUAGACUUCAAAAGGUGGCAACAAAAAAUAUUUUUUUAUCUCACCACUCUUAAUUUGACUAAAUUUCUAAAGGAGAUUGCACCGACUAUACAAGAAGGAGAAAAUAAUCAUGAAUUGAUUAUUGCUUUGGAUGCAUAGAAAUACUCGGACUUCCUAUACAAAAACUAUAUCAUAAACAAAUUGGAUAAUACACUAUAUGGGGUGUAUAGUUCAAAGGAAUCAACCAAGGAAUUAUAGGAUUCUUUGGAGACAAAGUACAAGACCGAGGAUAUCGAAACAAAGAAGUUCAUUGUUGGCAAAUUUUUGGACUACAAGAUGAUGGGUUCCAAAACCGUAAUUAGCCAAGUGCAAGAGAUUUAAGUUUUGUUGCACAACAUCCAUGCCAAGAAAAUGAAAUUAAGUGAAUCAUUCCAAGUGGCUGCCAUUAUUGAGAAACUCCCACCUAUGUGGAGAGAUUUCAAAAAUUACCUCAAACACAAACGCAAGGAAAUGAAUUUCGAUGAAUUGAUUGUGCGCUUGAGGAUUGAAGAGGACAAUCGAAAAACCGAAUGAAGGCCGGUUGAUCAAGAUGGUGCAACUUUUGUUGAAAUGGAACCAAAGGCAACAAAUAAGAAAUGAAAGGCUUCUAAUUAUGUACCGCGAAGAGACAAUUUCAAGAAGGCUAAGAAGUUCAAAGGGAAUUGUUACAACUGUGGCAAGGUUGAACAUCAUUCAAGUGAAUGUUAAACUUCAAAAAAGAAUGCUCAAGCCCACAUGGUUGCAAAUAACACUCUAUCCGAUGGACUGCAAUAAAUGAGUUUAUCUGCAGUAGUGUCUGAAUGCAACAUGAUUGGAAAUACUAGAGAAUGGUGAAUUGACACCGGCGCUACCCGCCAUGUCUGUGCAGACAAGGGGAUGUUCUCCAAUCAUCAAGAAUUGAAUUGGCAACAACUAUACAUGGAAAAUUCUGCAAGUUCCAAAGUUGAAAGACAAGACAAAGUCACUUUGAAGAUGACAUCCAGGAAAGAACUCAUCCUCAACAAUGUCCUACAUGUACUAGAUAUAUGAAAGAAUUUAGUGUUCGGGUCUCUACUUAGGAAGAAUGGUUUUAAACUUGUAUUUGUAUUCGAUAAAUUCGUAUUGUCUAAGAAUGAGAUGUAUGUAGGGAAAGGAUACAUGUGUAAUGAAAUGUUCAAGUUGAACGUUCUUACAAUUGUACCGAAGCAAGUCGUUAUGAAUAAAACUAUAAAUUCUGUUUACUUGCUUGAGCCUUCAUAUUUGUGGCAUAGUCGAUUAAGACAUGUGAAUUACAAAUUAUUGUGCAAACUAAUGAAUCAAAGUUUAAUUCCGACGCAUAAAAUCAAUCCUAAUCAUAAAUGUAAAAUAUGUGUUGAAACAAAAUUGGCUAAAACACUGUUCCAUUCAAUACAAAGAAAUACAACCCCUCUUGAAUUGAUCCAUAAAGAUGUAUGCGAUCUAAAUUUUGUACAAACUCGAGGUGGUAAGAAAUACUUUGUGAUAUUUAUUGAUGAUUGUACAAAGUUUUGCUAUAUCUUUCUUUUGAGAAGUAAAGAUGAAGUCUUGAUGCAUUCAAAACCUAUAAGGCUAAAAUUGAAACACAACUUGAAAAACGAAUAAAGAAUAUUCAUAGUGAUAGAGGAGAUGAAUAUGGGGCACAGUUUGAAGACUUUUCUUCUGAACAUGAAAUUGUUCAUCAAACAACGACAUCUUACUCUCUUCAAUCAAAUGGUGUUGCAAAACGCAAAAAGCGAACACUUAAAGAAAUGAUGAACUUCAUGUUAAUAAGUUCAAGUUUACCACAAAACAUGUGGGGGAAGGCUAUUUUAACGACAAAUAGUUUUCUUAAUAAAAUAUCUCUUAAGAAAAUGGAAGAGACACCAUAUGAACUAUAGAUAGAUCAUCCCCAUCCUACCAAUACUUGAAAGUGUGGGGGUAUUUGACUAAGAUUGAGGUACCUAAGUCUAAACAAGUGAAAAUCGAUCCUAAAAUGAUAGAUUGCAUAUUUAUUGGAUACGCCAAUAAUAGUAGUGCAUAUUGAUUUCCUGUACACAAAUCUGAAAUAAAAAAACAUACACGAAGGGACCAUAAUUGAAUCAAGGAAUGCGAUAUUCUUUGAAAAUAUUUUUCCUUGCAAAAAUAAGGAAAAUACGAGUUCUAACAAGAGAACAUAUGAAACUACCAAUGAAACUUCAAAUGAAGAAGAACCAAGGUGUAGUAAAAGGGCUAGGACUUCCAAGACGUUUGGCCCAGAUUUUCUAACCUAUAUGGUAGAUGAUGAUCCAAAGACUUUUAAUAAAGCAAUGUCUACACCGGAAGCACCACAUUAGAAAGAAGCUAUCAAUAAUGAUACAGAUUCUAUAAUGCAAAACCAGACAUGGGAGUUGGUUGAUUUACCUCCUGGUAACAGGCCUUUAGAAUGCAAAUGGAUAUUCAAAAAGAAAUUAAACCUUACGAAUCCAUUGACAAAUAUAAGGCUAGAUUGGUUGCUAAACGAUAUAGGCAAAAAAAAGGACUUGACUUCUUUGAUACCUACUCACCCGUGACUAGAAUCAAGUCGAUAAGGUUGUUAAUUGCAAUUGCGACAAUACACAAUCUUGAGAUUCAUCAAAUGGAUGUAAACACAGUAUUCCUAAAUGGUAAGUUAGAAUGGGAGAUUUACAUGGAGCAACCUGAAGGGUUCGUUUCUCCUAACAAAAAACACAAAGUGUUUAAACUUGUUAAAUCUUUGUAUGGAUUAAAAUAGGCUCCUAAACAAUGGUACUAAAAGUUUAACAAAACAAUGUUGUCAAAUGGAUUCAAGAUCAACGAAUGUGACAAAUGUAUAUAUAUUAAAUAUACACUGAAUGCCUAUGUAAUUGUAUGUCUAUAUGUGGACGACAUGUUAAUAAUGGGCAAUAGUCAUGAAAUAUUUUUUUAACACCAAAAAGAUGCUAACAAAACAUUUCGAUAUGAAAGAUAUGGGUGUGGCGGAUGUAAUUCUAGGGAUUAAAAUAUCUAGAAUGCAGGAUGGGAUUGUACUUUCACAAUAUCACUACAUAGAAAAAGUACUUAAGAAGUUUAACGUGUUUGAGGAAAGUCCUGCGAGAACUCUUCUUAAUCCGAGUAUGCACUUAGUCAAGAAUAUGGGAGAAAACAUAUCACAACUAAGGUAUUCACAAAUAAUUGAUAAUCUUAUGUAUAUUACAAACUGCACUUGACUGGAUAUUGCUUUUACGGUGAAUAAACUUAGUAGACUUACAAGUAAUCCAAACAGUGAUCAUUGGAAGGCUUUGACGAGGCUUCUAAGGUACUUGAAGUAUACCUUAACCUAUGGAUUACACUUCACAAAAUAUCCUGUGGUACUAGAAGGAUAUUUUGAUGCUAAUUGGAUAUUCGAUAUGAAGGAUUUCAAAUUUACUAGUGGUUAUGUAUUCACCAUUAGUGGAGCUGCUGUAUCAUGGAAAUCAACAAAGCAAAUGUGCAUAGCUUGAUCAACGAUGGAAUCUGAGUUUAUUGCUUUGGAUAAAGCUACAGAGAAGCAGAAUGAUUUAGAUAUUUCUUAGAAAAUGUUCCAUUUUGGCCCAAACCAGUACCUGCAAUAAGUAUACAUUAUAAUAGUCAAUCAGCAAUUGGAAAGGCUCGAAGUAGCAUGUAUAAUGAUAAGUCUAGACAUAUUCGUCGUAGACACAACACCAUUAAGCAACUGAUCUCAAAUGGCGUUAUCUCCAUAGAUUAUGUGAAAUCAAAGAAGAAUAUUGCGGAUCCACUUACGAAAGUUUGCCUAGAGAUCCAGUAUAUCGCCUAUCGAGAGGAAUGUAAUUAAAGCCUACUACGUAAGAGUUUUUGCAAUAGUAACCCUACCUUGUCGACUGGAGAUCUUAAGAUCUUGGUUCAAAAGGACAACUAAGUUGUGAAAAUUCCAUGAAACACUUAGAAAAUUAGAAUUCCUAACUCAUUCCUAUAAUACUAAAGUGUUUUCUGCAGAGUAGAUAGAGCCUAAGAUUAUCUUUUAAUGAUUUUUAUAUCUUGAUUAAGUCAAGUGGAGUAGGGUAGAAUACUCUUAAUAGGAGGUCACCUAUGUAAGUGUAAAAUGGAGCCGCUUUGAUAAGAAUUGUUUAAGGUUUAAAUUUUCUAAACACUUAUGAAACCAAUAAGGGUUCAGGGCCAAAAUGAACCAAGCCAUGAGAACUAAGUACAGAAUAUGGAAGAUAUCUGUGUGAGUACUGUUGUCUUGACUUACACUAAAGGCUGAGUGGUUUAAGACCUAUGGUUCACCAAUUAGCCUAAUGAGUCCGAUAAUAUUUCACUAAGGGAGGUUCAAGGCCAGAAGCUACCAUCCCUGAUGCAGUAUUUUUUCUCACCCUCUCUACAUUGCAUUAUAUCAUCGUAUUUGCAUAUGCGUACCCGAAUUCCAUUCAUGUGGAGGAUUGUAGGAAUUGGUUCAAAUAAUUAACCAAAAAUUGAAAAAUGAAAAGGUGUGUAAAAGUGGAAAAUGAAAAGAUGUGACUACGUAUCAACUUCGAUCAAAUAUUCGGACAUGAUCCGAUGGUCAAAUUACAAAAGUAAAUAUACCAAUUUAUUCUACUCAUCGAGUAGAUCGUUGUGGUAUAUUUGGAAUCUUGAAACCAAUUCUGGAUGAAUGAGAAUUAUGGACCAAAGUUUGAAGAAAUGAAGUGUUGCAACUUUUCGAAAGAAUGCAAGUUUUAGCCAAGUGUUGCAACUCUUUGAAAGGACGCAUGUUUUGGCCCACAUUACUUCAUUUGCAUCCUUUUUACAUCUAUAAAUAGAAUCAUAUGGACAUAAUUUUGGGUACACCAAUUGUAUUGAGAGCAUUCAUUCUCCUCUUACAAUUGUCUCCUUUCUAAUUCCAUAGCAUUUUCAUGCAUUUCUUUUAUAGAGGAAAAAUUCUGUCAAAAGUUCAUCGAUUUCUUGUGGUUUGAAAUGCUGCUACCACAAGUUGUGAAUCCAUUGUAUCUUGGAAGACAAGUAUCAUUCACCGUGAGCACCAUAGCUAGGCAAUUUGUCUUAAAGAAAGAGAUAACAUCUCGCCUUGGAUUAUUCUCUAUUUCUACUCCUUCUUAAUCCUUGUUUUGUGUAAUCGUUAUACCGAAACUCCAUCCAAAUUUCUAUUCAUAUAAAUUAUGUUUUGAUCACGCUCUUGCGGGUUAAGAUUAGUCAAACAAAUAUAUCAAAAACCAACUCUUACAUAACCCUUUUUAUAAAUCGUCUCCAACAGUAUAUGAUAUGGUCAUUUUUUUAUCAACGACGUACCAUGCUCGAGGUUGUUUCCAAUCAUCUUGGGAGUUUUCCCAAGGUGUCUGAUAAGUGUGUUUUUACACACUUAUUUAGAUCAUAAACAUGACUUCAUUACAAGCAAAAUAUUUAAAUUGUGACUUAAUCUCGUUGAAUUCAUGCAAUAUGGGUGUUUCUAUGGAAAUGAUGGAAUUCAGGAUAAAAGAGUCGAAAAAUGACUAAAAUGGAGCAAAUUGAUAGCUCAGGGACCAAAGUGCAAUUAUACAAAAGAUGGUCCGAAGGACAAAUCAAGGAAGUGAAUGAGCUAAGUACGAAUUUGGUGAUAUUAUGAGAUGAUGGAAAUAAAAGAAACAAGCAAAAAGUACAAAAAAUGAAUCAAACUGAAAGUUCGGGGACCAAGUUGUAAAUAAUCCAUAGAUGAGACGGGAAAUGGAAUGAAGAUUCAAGAGUGUUUGAGGUCAAUCAGAUGAGAAAAGGAGUCAAAGAGGUGAAAUAUGAUCGAAGUAUUAUCAAGUAUCAACUGUCAGGCGAAAAAGCUAUACUCGUGAUUUUUAGCCUCUACUUGAGAUCCAUUUUUGGCAUAGUAAAGAUCAGAAUUUGAGAAAUCCUAUUCUAACAAAAGUGUAUAUCUUUGAGUUUUCUGUCUAAUGAACUUUGAAUCACUUCAAUCGGAGAUCAUUUGAAAAAAUAAUGAUGAAAAUAUUAAAAGCUGUCCGGCGGAAAGAAUCGCAUAACUAUGCAGUCGCAUAGAAACCUCCCGAGAAUUUUUUUUCAAAAUUUUUUUAUUCUAUGCGAUAGCAUAGAAAUGUACUAUGCGGUCGCAUAGGUAUAUUCUGGGGACUGAUUCUGCAGCUUCCUUAUACGACCGAAACUUUUUUGGUAACCUAACUUUCGCACGAUAUAAAUACCAAAAGAUGUCCAAAAAGAGGCAGAACGUAUUGGAAGUAGAAGAACACUUCUUGAGAGGAUUUUGAGUGCAAGAACGAAGAUUUACACGAAGAACUUCAAGAUUUCUCAAGAUUUGAUAACUCAAAGAUGUCUUUUAUCCAAAAUUAGAUGUAUUCUUUUAUUUUAACCAUGUUAGGCUAGAUUUUCAUGUGCUAGGAUUUGCGAUGAACCUUAUAUUAUGAAUCCUUAAUCUUGAAUUUUAUUUAUUUGACGUUAAAACAUGUUUUUUUUUAAUUAUUGAAUGAUUGGCAUGAAUUUUAUUUUCUCUACAAUUAUGUGCACAAUAGUUGUAUGAGAUUUGUGGCUUGUUUUACCCUCGAGAGAUGGAAAAUAAGUUAGACAUUAUGUUAAUUGUCAGAAAGUUCGAUAGGGGAUAGAAAUGUACCGCUAUGCUUUACGUGAUCUUUAAAUAUUCAUAAAUGUUUAAUGCAUUUUUAUAUGUUCGCAUCCGUCAUAGAAAUAUAGUCAGAUCGCAUGUGAAAAUAAGUUUAAUUCUAUUCGAGAGAAUUGUUAAACAAAUUAGGAACAUUGGUCUUCAUAAUUGAAUCGUGUUGUCAAUUUUAUAAAAUUCGGAUUAAAGGGGAUUGAUAUAAGGUGAUUCGGGAUCCUAGUACGCAUUUCGUUAUCAUAUUUUUAUAAAACUUGCAUUUAGUUAUAAUCACGCAUUUAAUUUAGUUAAUUUAGGCUUUAUAUUUAUAAGUAUGUUAUUAAAUCAUAAUUUAAUUAGCAAAAAUAUCAAGUAUUUCUAUUGUUUCUGUUAAGGCGACGAUAGAUAAAAUUGAACAAAUCAAUCUCUGUGGGGGCAGUAUUCGGACUCAUUUAAUCCACUUUAUUAUUUGUUAACGAACCGUACACUUGCGGUACUUUUAAAUCGAAAGAAAUAAUUUCGUGGACAAUGUCCUCCUCGAGUUCCCUCAUCGGGAUAAAUUGACGCACCUGAUGGUUCCAUAUCACCUUGAAUUUUUAGCUUCGUUCCUUGCUCUAUCUCGAAAGACAUAUUCUAGUAGGACUCUACUCAAAUCUAUCCAACUCGAAACAAGAUUGGAUCCUAACUAGCUUAGAACUCCUACUCAUAUUGGAAUACUCAAUUUUUUUACAUCUCUUAAAUAGAUAAGGCUUCAAGUAUCAUAAUCGUAUAAAAAGUGUGCUACUUAUCUCUAUAAAUACACGUUCUAAUUCAUUAUUCAGAUAUGUUUUUACAUUCAAUUUAUAAUUUUACGCUUAUAUUUUUCCCUUUCGCUAACUUAAGCAUCAGAUUGGCAAUGGAAACACACAUCAAAGCCUUUGUUUUAGGUGCUGGAAAUUUUGUACACGAUCAUCCUCGUUCUUCAAGCUUAGGAAUAAACAUGGGACGAUUUUUUGUAACAUCAUUGGAGCCAUUUGUAGGAAUCGGGGUGGUUAACCACGAAGAAAUCAUGUGAGGAAAGUAGAUCAAAUAAUUUUCUGAAAAAUAUGAAGAAGAAGAAAUGAAUGAAGAAUAAGAUGAAUUUUCUGUCAAUGUCAAUUUUUCUAGACCUGGUGUUUUGUUCAUCACUGAACUUGGAAGAUAAGAUCAAAUUUAAAUAUCACCUUCGCACUCGAUUUGAUUGCAGUGAAUAAUUUAUUUAAACAUAAACUAUGUCUAAUCUUGGCAAUUUACAAUUAUUAGUUGCAGGAAAGACAAUCAAAAAUUGGAGAAGCAGUAAUUGGUUGAUUUGCAGGCUCGCCUAAUAAACAUAUACAGGCCCUAAUUCUGCUGUGAAAAGAGGAAGUUGGAAAAAAUGACAAAAUUUUUUAUUCAAGGAUGAGCAACUGGAGAAGAUGAUGGCAUCUCCUAGGUGUCCACUGUUGAUCUCGUUUUCGGUUAAGGCCACGCGGACAACAGAUACCAAACACACCUGCGAACACGUAGGCGAAAGUCCAACACGCUAAGACUCAUAAUGGGUUCUAGAACGAUCUAAAAGGGAGCGUGGGAGUAGCUGAAAGGCGCGAGACGACAAUGUUGGGGAUCCGACUAUGCAUUUGUAGAACGAUUGUACAAUAAUUAUCAAUCGUGACUUGUUGAACUUGUAUAUAAACUCGGGCGUAUUGCCAUAGAGUAAUAUGUGUAGUAAUUAUUGUUAUAUUGAAUCUUGCAUUAUUCUUACAAUGAGAGUAUAGGGGGUAUUUAUAGUAAUACGAGUUGAAUCGUAUCCCUCGGUUGGGAGUACACGUGACCUCAUCUUGUUAGUUUCUUAUCUAAUCCUUAUUUUUUAUCACCUAGCAUGCUAUAAAUUUAUUAAUUGCAGAGCCACUAUUAUAUUUGACAAGACAAGACAAUUGCACUCUAUGAUGAGCGUCCCAUCAAUCACUUAAAAAUGAUUCUUGUAUAAGACCGAAUCUCUUGAGAGAGGUGAUGGCAAAGGUGCUUCAGAGCUUCGACUUCAACAUAGGGACCUCGGUAUGAACCACCUCGGCCAAUAUGCUUCGGUCCUCAAGCAGUUGGGCCACGUCAGAAGCAAGUUGUUGUGUUAUUCGUUGGCCUUACGGCCUCGGCCUCCAUGCCACGUGAUCUGACUUAGGUGGGCCACGGAUCCUAGUGGGUCGAUCAAGUGUACCACUAUGUAACAUCACAGGCAAUUCCUGUGGAAGGAUCUGAUGAUGCUAAGCUUGAUAUGCAUACAGGCUCCAAGACAGGCGUGUGUCCGUAGAUGGAUGCAAAAUCAGGUUGUAAAGUCUUAAAAAAAAUUUCCAAAUGAGACUCCCAUGCCAGCUGCUUGCUAAAAUCUGUAAGUUAGAGAUCACCAUUGAAAAUGAUAAUACGUUGAUAUGCUGGAUGCAAAAAAAAAAAUCUUUACAUGUGAAAAUUUUACGCAAAAUAAAUAAAUAAAUAAAAUACUAAUUUAUAUGAUAACCAAUUAUGUGUAGUUCGAAAUUUUCACUUGUAACGAAAUUUUUGAAAUAAUUCUAAGCUAAUACACAAUAUCAGGUCAUACUGAUUUCAAAAAUUAAUACAACAAUUUUGUUGAAUGAUAUUAAUUGUAGACAACCCUAGCAUGGUUCGGGUUGGGUUGGUUUUGAGUCCAACCCGAAAUUGAAACCGAAAUCAACUUGAUCGGUUUGGAUGAAUUCCAACCCAAAUCGACUUAAUCUAGUCGUUGAAAUCGAACCAAACCAAAUCGGUUGGGUUGGUUAGUCAGUCUGGAAUUUGAGCUAGUAAAAAAAAAAUUCUAACUAUAUUGGGUUAUUUUUUCAUUUAUAUACAAUUUUUUAUUGUAUAAUGCAUGUCAAUAAUAUAUAAUGUAAAUGGUAAAGAAUCGAUCUCUCCAAAAUCAUCAUAUAUAUAAAUCUGAUAGUUAUCAAUAAACAAUUACACGAAAAUGAAAGUAAGUCCACAAUCUAAAUUCGAAAUUUAUAUCAAAACUUCUUCUUCUUGCUUUCUUUUCUUUUGAUAUUUAGAGUUUUUGUAGAAAAAAUAUAGACGGUAAACAAAUUAUUUGAGACAAAAUUAUAUUUGUGUUUUUAUUAUUUUGUUCUUCACAUUUAAAAAGAUGAAUUUUAAAAUACGAAAAAAAAUGUAUUUGCGAAUUGGGUCGAUUAAUUGAUGGGUUGAUUGUUUCUAAUGAAACCAAUCCAACCCGAAUUUUUAAUGGUUAAAAUUAAUCAAACCAAAUCAAUUUUUUUAUUCAAACCCUAUGUUAGAACUUAAAAUUUAUGCAAUCAUGUAUGACCUAUGAUUCCUAUUGGAUUGGAAAUUAGUCAACUCUAAAUAUGACUUAUUGAUCCUCGCCGCACCUAAUGAUCUAUGUGGUAAAUUGAGAUUAUGGGUUAAGCCUGCAAUAACUUGUGAACAAAAUUUUUGGUCUAUUCUGAUGUAUGACUUCGAGAAGUCUGUUUUCAAGUUCAUAAGAUAAUUGUUGGUUCUGUUAUUAUUUGUAGCAGGCUCCAAGCACAAUUGAACUUAAAAAAUAAAUUAAACUUUCUUGGUAAAAUUUUGGCUAAAAUAUUAUAAUAUACAAUCUGCUAGAGAAUUGAUAACAUUUUCGUGAAAGUCUUAUUGUUAUAUCACUUUGUUAUAUAUGGUCUCAUUGUUUACAUGACAUCAACUAUGAUCGGCUCAAUAAUAUACAAAUUGAACUCACUAUGAAAUUGAUCGAUCUUCACCGACUCGACCGGUGGUUUUGAAAGUUGUGUCAAUUUUCUUGGGUGAAGUAGUAGUUUGCAAAAUUGCCACAAAAUCGAUAUAAAAAAUGGUCGCGUAAAGUCUUUUUAAUAGAAUGCCUUGCUCAACAUUGGAGUUGGAUCGUGUAAUGGACACUGACAGAUCCAGCACCCGACGAGACCCCUGCUACCGCGCAUGCUGAAUUUGUCGGGAGCCUUUUUUUUUUGGCUGAGAAUAGACAAAUAUAUAGGAUAUAUUACUGAUAAGUCAUUUUUCUUUCAGCCAUCCCUUCUAGUUAAGUUGGUUAGCGCUUGCAUGUGUUUCUUUGAUGUUCUGGGUUCGAAUUUGUCCACCAUUUUAUUGUAUAAAUUUUUAGUUAUACAACUUUUACCAAAAACCAUUGAAAUAAUGAAAGGGCCAACGGGGAAUCGAACCUGUGAGCUAUUCUUAGUUAUAAAAGUUUGACCAUUAUGACACUUGAUAAUUAUGAUAUAGAGUUCAACAAAAUAAUAUAUGUAAGAUUUUAGUGGGUUUAAUGCAACUGUAAAAAUUCUAACACCGUGCUCUUUUUUUGAAUUAUACAAAACAAUAAUGUUAUUUGGUGGGUACGAUUUAUUCUUAUAACAAAAUUAUAUAUAUUCAACUUCAAUAAAAUAAUUAUUUUAUUUAAAUUUUAAACCUUGUUUGAUUCUCAUUUAGUUCAAAAUACAUUUUUCUUUCCCUUAUUUUAAAUCAAAUAUUCUUUAACAAUUUAAUAUUACACGAAAAUUCAAGAUUUUUUAUUAUUUUUAAUUACACAUUCUUUAUCAAAUCACUAUUCCAAAAUGUAUUUUUUUUUGCAAAAAAUGACAUCAAACGAGCCCUUAAUCUUUUAUUACGAUCACCCGUGCUGGCUCAACAUCUUGAAUUCGUCCCUGGUAAUGGGUUGUCAUAGUUUUCAAUAUUCUUGCUGUCGGUUCAUUGUGUCUCUCUAAUUGGGAAGAAAUUGUUGAAUUUAUAUAUGAGGAUAACACCAUAAAAUCAAAAUUUUGUCUUGAGGUUUGCAAAUGCUACUGAAAGUAAGAAUCCCAAUAUACACACAAAAUGCUCAACCAAAUGCCCAACCGACAUUGGUAAAAUUAAAGGUUCGGUGGGCUCGUAAUUUUCUCAUUAUUGAAUGUGAGCUUUAGCUCAUGGUUUUCUUACUAUUAAAGGUGAGUCUAGUUCGUGAUUUUCUUAUUAUUGAAGUCAAGCCUUAGCUCUAGCUUUCUUAUUAUCGAAUGAGAGAUCUAGCUCAUGUUUUUUUUCUUAUUAUUGAAAACGAGACUUAGCUCGUGGUUUUCUUAUUGAAGGCGAGCCAUAGUUCGUAGUUUUCUUAUUAUUGAAGGCAAGUCUUAACUCUGGCUUUCUUAUUAUCGAAUGAGAGCUUUAGCUCAUGGUUUUCAUAUUAUUGAAGAUUAGCCCUAGCUCAUGGUAUUGAAAGCGAGCUUCAGCUCGUAGUUUUCUUAUUAUUGAAGGCAAGCCAUAGCUCUAGCUUUCUUAUUAUUGAAGGAGAGUUUUAGCUCGUGAUUUUUAUUAUUAUUGAAGACAAGUCUUAACUUAUGGUAAUUUUUUUUAUUUUUUUUAACUGAAGAUAAGCCUUAACUCAUGGAUUUCUUAUUAUCAAAAGUGAAAGGCUUACCCCGUGCAAGCACUCAAAGCCUUUCCUAGGAGCAAGCACCUCAGAAGCUUUGCCCCAUAGCAAACAUUCAAAUCUUUGUACACGAGCAAGCACCUCAAAAUCUUGUCCCGUGCAAGCACAAAAAACCUUGCCUAUGAGCAAGCACCUCAAAGUCUUUUCCCUACCCCCGUGAAAAUACCUUAAAGCCUUGCCCCAUUGCAAGCACUCAAGCUUUUCCCAUUAGCAUACACCUUAAAACCUUGCCCCGUGAAAAUACUCAAAAACUUGCCUACGAGCAAGCACUCAAAGCCUUGCCCACGAACUAGCACCUCAAAACCUUAUCCGUACAAACACCUCAAAGCCUUGUCUUGUUGCAAGUACUCCAAGCUUUGCCCACGAGCAAACACCUCAAAGUCUUGCCCUUGAGCAAACACCUCAAAAAAAUCUUACCCCGUGCAAGCAUGCUUACAAAUACUUCGUACACUUGAGCAAAAAUUAGUCCUAAAAAUCAUCAAGUAAAAUGGUCGAUCUUAUAAGCUCGAAGCUUUCUUUCCUAGAUCUAUAUGCUUUGGGCCUAUCAACACAUCCUUCACUCAACCUCAAGGAAUCAACACUCAACCUAAACAAUUUACAUCUCAUUUUCGAACCUUGAGCAUUCUAAACAAUAUUCUCGAGUCUCGAACAUGGAUGCACGAGUGUCAAUGAUAUGGUCAUUUUUUAUCAACCCCGAAAAACAAUUCUCGAGGUUGUUUUUGAUCAUCUUGGGAACUUUCCCAAGGUGUUUUCCUCGAGUUUUCUUGCCCGACUAAAUUGUUGCAUGUGAUGAUUCCACAUCACCUUGAGUUUUUACUUUUGUUCUAUUCUCUAUUUCAAAAGACAUACUCUAGUAGGACUUUACUUCUAUCUUCAAACUUAUCCAACUCCAAUGAGAUUGGAUCCUAACUAGCUUAUACUCCUACUUAUAUUGGAAUACUCAAGUCUUUUACAUCCUUUAAACAGAUAAUGCUUCAACUAUCAUAAUCCUAUAAAAAGCGUGCUACUUACAUCUAUAAAUAUACGUUCUAACUCAUUAUUCAGGUAUAUUUUUACAUUCAAUUUAUAACUUUACACUUAUAAUUCCUCUUUCGCUAACUUAAGAAUUGAAGGGACAACGAGGAUACACCUCGACGGCUUUGUUUCAGGUAUCAAAGAUUUCUAUGUAAUCAUCCUCAAUCGUUAAGCUUGGGAAUCAAAAUAUAGCGAUUUAUUAGUAACAUCAGUAUGUAUCAGUGUUCUAAAAAGCGUAAUGCGUGGCUAGGCGUAUAGGCCAAGCUUCACGCAUUACGAGCCUAAGCGAAGCCUAGGCGUUAAAAAGCGUGUUUUAAUUUUAAAUUUUAUUUUAAAUAGUUAAUCAUUGUAAAAGACAUUUAAUAAUUCAAAUAAUACAUUCCAAACAUCUAAAAUUAUAAAAUAUUGCAUUUACUUAAUAAUUUCUACAAAAAGAUAAGUUUCAAAAUUAUAAUUACAUAACGGAUAGCUUGUGGUUUAAAUCUUAUCUAGCUCUUUAUCGGAUUCCAAUUCAAAAUCUUCUUCUUCAUCCAAUUCGUCCUCUAUGUCGUCCGAUACAAAAUCAUCCUCAUCGGGCUCCCUUAUUUCAUUUUGAUCAUUUCUUGUACCUCUUGUAGGUUGUGAGAUAUCAUUCUCCAACCUAUUAUUUUCCUCCUCACCCUCAUCAUUACAACCCUCUACAAUCCAAGAUUGUGCAUUAGUAGCAUCACUUGCUAAUAAAGUCUCUAUUUUGGCCUUUCUCUUCUUUUUGUUCAUCAACCUUGCAUUAAAUUGGACAUAAACAAGAUUGUUCAUCCUCGUAGUAUCAAGUCUAUUCCUUUUCUUGGUGUGUAUCUACAAACAAAAAAAGAAAAGAAACAAAAAGAAAGGUACAUUUAAUGGAGCAUAGCAUAUUCAAGUAAUUAUUCAUUGGCCAAAAGAAAUGAGUUGUGUGCAGCCUAAUGAGUACUUACCCCUUCCAAAGCACUCCAAUUUCUCUCACAACCCGAUGAACUAGUAGUCAAACCAACUAUCCUUUUUGCCAUUGUCUAUAAAUUUGGUGCUUCAUUGCCAUAGAAAUCCCACCAACUCACUAAUACAUAUAAAUGAAAGAGAAAUAUGUUACAGGGUAAAUUCAAAUUUAAUGAAGAGAUAAAGUUAGGUAUAGAACUUAGUCGGAUUGUAGUUUGCAUCAUUGUUCUCACAUCCACUUAUUGCUAGCAUUUUUCCAAAUGAACCUUCUUUUUGAACAUAUUUUUGCAACUCAAUUUUUACCACAUGAUGUUGCAUUUGAUCAUCAAGAAAGAAUUUCUCAACACAAGCAAUCAAAUUAUUUAUAAUCAAUUGGUCAUCUUUGAUACUUGGAUUCUUGAAAAAAUAGAAACGGAUUCAAAAAAUAAGCUGUUGUAUGAAGUGGACUAUCAAAGCGACCUUGCAUUUACCAUUAAUAAUGUCUAAGAUAGGCCUAUAAUCACACUCCUCCUUCAAUGUCCUUUUAAUGUCAUCCUUUGCCUUUAGUAGCUCUCCAUAAACAAAGCCCAUUGAAGGCUUUUCUUCUCCAUCAACAAGUCUAAGCACUCUCACUAGUGGAGUAAACACUCUCAAACACAACUCUAUCAUGUUCUAAAAAUCAUUCGGAACAACAAUAUCAAAUGCUUCUUUUCUUUUUUUACUCUUAGACCAUUUAGUGUUAUCCCAUUCAUUGCUAGUCAUCAUACUUCUCAACUCUUGUUUUUUUCAAGCAAACUUUGCAACGUUAAGAAAGAAGUUGCAAAUCUAGUAACUCCCAGCCUAACUAUCUGUUUUUUUUUUUUUUUGUGAACUUUCUCAUCAAAGAUAAAGUCUUGUGAUGUGCAUAAAUGAAAAUAGUGAAGGAUUUUGCUUUGUUAAUCACUCCCUUGAAGCUAGGAAGUUUAGAGAUUCCUUCAAGCAUAAAGUUUAAAGUGUGAGUAGCACAUGAUGUCCAAAACAUGUUAGGCCUUUCUAAUUCCAACAAUUUUGCGACGGCCAUAUUAUUGGAAACAUUGUCGGUUACAAUUUGAACCACAUUUUCAACCCCAACAUCUUUAAUACAUUCAUUGACAUAGUCAAAUAUGUAUUGACCGGUAUGAGCAUCAUUUGAAGCUUCCUUUGAUAAAAUAAAUGUGGUCCCCAAUUUACAAUUCACACACAAAUUCGUGAUGCUUCUUCUUUUUCUAUCACUCCAAGCAUCGGUCAUGAUUGAACACCCAUUAUUUUUCCACUCUUCUUCUUGCUUCUUUAAAGUUUCUUUUGUCCUCUCCACCUCUACCUUCAAAAGUGGCUCCCUUAGUUGGUAUUGGGAAGAAUGAUUGUAAUCCGGGCCAUAUUGACCAAGAGCUUCCACAAAUAGUUUAAAACUAUCAUUGUUAAUGGUAUUGAAAGGAAUUCCAGCUUCAUAAAGCCAUCUUGCCAAAUAUUGAUGAACCUCUAAUAACCUUUUCUUAGAAAUUGCAUCAUUCAUAUUUUGUUGUCUCAAUUUCUUACUUGCAUUUAUAGAAGCGUCAUUGACAUUGGUAGAGCUUGCAAAUUGAUCUAUGGGUCCCACAUUAAUAGGCCUUUUCCUAGUCUGUCUUUUAAUAAUCGAAAUUUCAUUAUCUUCUUCCUCCUCUAGCUCCUCAUCUAUUGUAGGCAAAGAUAUACCCACAUCUUCCCUCAACCUAGCAUCAUUCACUAGCUUCUCUAAUUUUUUAGAUUUAUUCCCUUGAAUCGCCUCUCCACACUUUGCUUUUUGUUCUUCAUUUGCCCUAAGACAUGAUGCCACACCGUUUCCCUUGAUUCCCGCCACGUGAAUUUUAUGCCUAUAAAUUCCUCCCUUAAUAAACUUAUCACAUAACGUGCAUUUCACAUUAUUAAGAUUUUUAGGAUCUACCAAAAUCGCAGUUUCCCAACCAACAUCUCCGGAAUCUCUUUUUAGUUGACUUGCAUGGAAUUUAGAUGCUGUUGAGGAAUCAUCUUCCUCCAUUGGUUCCUAAAAAAAUAUGAACAAUACAAAUUUUUAUUAUUCAUAACAAACUAAUAAUAACUGAAAUUAGACACAAAAGCUGAAGGCCUAAAAGCAUAGGAAAGUGGAAACACAUGAAAAUUUAGUUACAUAAACACUGGAAAAUUUAGUUUACUCUUCCAUGUUAUUAAUGUAACUGAUUGAAAGACAGAAAAAUUUCAACAAUGGCAGCAAAUGGAGUUUAUCAAGUGCCCACAUAAAUGAAAUUUCAGCAACAAUUUCAAUUUCAACACACACAUAAAUGAAAUUUAUCAUGCACCCACAUAAAUUUCAGCAACAAUUCCAAUAGUUCAUGGCAAGAACUUGUAAUUUCAGUCAUGUAUUUGCAGCCAAACUCAUGAAAAAUAGUAAAAUACACAACCAAGUUAAUUAUAAACCCCCCACUAAAAAAGGGGCAAAGCUACAAAAAGCUGAAACUGUAAUUUUUCAUGGCAAGGUUCAAAAGGCCGAAACUGUAAUUUUUCAUGGCAAGAACUGUAAUUUCAGUCAUGUAAUUGCUAGCAGCCAAACUUAUGAAAAAUAGUAAAACACACAACAAAGUUAAUUAUAAACCCUACCACCAAAAACGGAGCAAAUCUGCAAAAAGCCGAAAUCAAAAAGACAAAAACCCACUAAUAUAAUCAACAAUAUUACCAGGAAAAUGUGGGCCAAAGAUGUGGUCUUACUGGAGGAAUUGCCGAAAUGAUAAUUUUUGAAUUUUUGUGUUGAAACUCUUGAUUUUUGAAACCGUGGUUUGUAAUUGUUGUAGACUUGUAGUAUGUUUGGUUGUCUAUAAACAAAAUAAAAAAAUAACUAAGCCCGCCUAGGCGUGUUUAAUAACUAAGCGCACCUAGGCGCUCAUUAAGUGGUCAACAUUGUCGUUGACCGCUUAACUCUCACUUAGCCCAUAGGCGAGACUUUUCUACCACGCUUCAUGCCUAAGUGCGCUUUUUAGAACACUGGUAUGUAUAGAGAGAAUCUCUCUACAUGUAAAUCAUUCCAUGUAUAGAGUAUCCUAUACAUGUAGAGAGAGAGACUCCUCCCUGUAUCUAUAUUGUGUUUUAUAGAGAAGAGAGAAAGAGGAAUAGAGAGGCGGGGGGUUCAUGGGGAGCAGUGGAAGGAGGUUUGAUAUGGAAGGUUUCAAUAUUAAUAUCUACACCAUUGAAUUGAUUUAAAUUAAGGUUCAUUUUUCUAUUUAUUAUUUUUUUUGUUCAAAUCCAUUUGUCAAAAACCUUGGUGAGUGGAACGCUCCCUUUCAUAAAAUACUAGAUGAUAAUUUAUAUACUAUAUAUAAUACAAAAAUAAACCAAAAUUACUUACUUCCAUAAUCUCUCUAAUUUUUGUAAUUGAAACACUUCAAGUCUUCAAUAGCCGUUAACACGCCCAUAAUAAUUAACAACGUCCCCGAUUGCUAAAUAUUUUACCAAAAUAAAAUUGUUAAAAUUGUUGAUAUUUCAUGUUCGAUCUAUUUUAAUUUAAGUAAUUGAACAUAAAUAAUAAUAGUCGAUAAGCCACUAUCAUAUUAAUUAUAAUCCCUAGAAAUUAGCUAGAUUUAAACCCCAAAUAAAAAUAGCCAAUAAACCACUCUUAUAUUGAUUAUAAGAGCAUCUUUAAAAUGUUCUUUAUCUAUAAAGAGCAUCUUAUACAUAAUAGAGAACGUCUUUAAAUUUAGAGAGUAAUUUUUCUUAUACGCUCCAACAAACUCUCUAUUUUGAUUCUUUAUUUUGUUUUUUCCAAUGAACACUUGAUAAUUUCUAUACAUAUUUUAUCUAAGUAUAAUUUUUUAUAUAUAAAUAACCAAUCAAUUCACAUGUAAUUUGAAAAUUUUAAACUGUAGAAUAUUGAAAUUUGUAAUUUAUUAAAUGCAAUCAUUAUACAUUAAAAAUAGAGAGUGGGGUUGACUCUCUAAAUUUGGAGAGUUAAACACAGUCUCUAUUUUAAAAAGUUAAAAUAGAGAAUUUCUUGAAACUAAUUUUUAAGUAUUGACUCUCUAAAAUAGAAAGCAUUUUGUGUUUAAAGAGUGUCUUGGUGAUGCUCCAACCUCUAGAAAUUAGCUAUAUUUCAACCCAAUGAAUCAAAAAAACUGUAAUUGGUAAACAAUUUAAAAUUAUUUUUUGGAAUCUUGAGACAAAAUUAUUCAUAUUUUAUUUUGUUUUUAAACUUUGAGCAAUAAUAUUUAACAAGUCUUUUUUCACUAUUCAUGUUAGUAAAUUUCAAAUUACUACUUUGACGAUUUUACCCUACAAGCACGAAUCAAAUUGGUGAGAAAUCUCACAUAGUCAUAUGACAAUAUGUCCGUGACAUAUUGUUGUGAAUUUUCAUUUUAGCGUAUAUGAGGAAUUCAAGCAUUUGAACUUCUAGGUCCAUUAGAACUACUUAAUAUGGAUUGUCACGAAACAUUUCUUCACUAUUUGGUCAUAUAUAAUUAUCAUCUUUGUUAUUCCUAUGAUGCAUAUCAUAGUUUGUUACAACAUCGCGCGUUAAUAUUUUAGAUCAAGUACACACCAUUUCGUGAUGCAUAUGUGAUUAUUGAUAUGAAAUAAGAUGAGCCAAAUUGUACAUUUUUUAGAUUAUUGGCUUGUUACAAAUUCUUAAUAUUGAUAAGUUACAUGGCUUCUAACUUGUUGCGACUUAUUUAUCUAAAAUGAAGUGCAAUGUCACAUCACAUAGAUUGGCAUAUUAUGUCGUGUGUUACAUACUAAGUUUCUUUGACUUUAAUACCAUGUUAUAAAGUGCGUAUGGUUACAUAUUACAAAUGAUACUUGUUUGAUAAGAUAUAUGACAUUACGCGUUACGAAGAAAGGCAUUGCUUUAGACAGGUUUUGCUUUAUUUUGAUUGCUAUAAUUUUUUACUUCGAGUUAUUACAUGUAGAGAGUAAUUGCGAGAUCAUGGACGUUCCGUAACAACACUGCAAUUGAAAAUAUAAUUGCACUUCAAUCACUAUUGUAAUUGAGCAUAAAGAUUUUUAACAAGUUGAGAUCUAUUACUACAAAAAUGUAUCUAGGAACAAAAAAUGGCAAAUAAAUUGGUUCAAUUCUUUAAGUUCAGUGUUUGAUUAGAAUAUUUUAAAAAGUUUAAGGACCAAUUCUCAUCAUAGCAAAAUUCGAGGGACCAUUUUACAUAAAAAAAUUCCAUGGAGUGAUUGGUAACAUUCAGAAUGUUCAGGGACCACUUUUCUGCAUGAUGAAGCUUUGAGGACUAAUCUGUAGAUUUCCAAAACCUAGGGGCAGACUUACACUAUUCAAAGGACCCAACAUACAAAAUUCUGAUAGUAUAGGUAUUUUCACAAAAUUUAGAUAAAGGCAUGUUUGGCACCUGAGAUGAAAUUUAUAUUAAGGUAUCAUCAACCAUUUCGGAAGCCACUAGGUCAGAGUGGGACCCUACUUUCAAGAUGCGCUGGAGUGAUUGGUUUUUUAAGGGGUUUCAACUAAUCUUCAGAGGAUCUCGACCAAGAUGAAAAGAGUAGAAACAAGUAUAAUGUCAAAUUGAGAUAGUACCAAACACAUCAUUAAUAUUAAGUCGACCGAGAGUGAAAACAACAAGAGCGCGAAUUGUUAGUAGCAUACAAGUUUGACAUCAAAGGUUUCAUCCUCCUUCGAUAAAUGCGUCCUACCUCAGUUUUUUGUUUUAGUAGGAAGGUUAGACAUUAUGCGUAUGAAAAGUUAUGGUAACGAGACAAACCUGAACAUCCUUAGUUUCUAUGGGCAUUACCUUUUUUAUUUUGAUCGAUAAAUUUGAAUUACUAUACAUCAAAAAUCAUAGACAAGUACUCCAGACCUCCACAGGUAAUCAAUACAAGUAAAAGUACACUGACAUACCCUGACUAACAAAGAUUAAUUCCAAGUAUAAGUACAUCGGAUAUAUUCGGGUGAACGACAUUCUUAUAUUUUAAGGUAAAGGAGGAACAAAAUGUUUGGCAAAGCUAUCAAAUAAUUAAAAGCUGAUAAAAAUAAAGAUCAAUCUGAAAUUGAUGAGAAGAAUAAGUAAGGUUCUCUUGGUCAUUAAAGGUCAGAGAUCGGGCCCAAAGAUUAAUCACCUUAUAAGAAAUUAUAAGUUUUGCCAAACACGCAAGAGGCCGACGGACAUAGCUAGAAGACAGAAUUUAUAGGUGAUAACAAAGACGAGACAAAGCUGUUCUUCGUGUUAACAAAGCUUGAGAGUACUGAAAGGAAUCUGCAGAGAGGCUGCCACCAUAUAGAAACAAAAUUCUUCCAAGAAAAUUGCUUUUUUCACAUGCUUUACACACACACUGCUCUCAGUUAUACCCACAAUUUUAAACCAAAUUCAAUUCUCAUGUACUUGUAUUAUCCAGAGCGGUGUCGCUUCAGCCCCCUGAUAAUCAACUCCGCCGUCCGCCGCCACAACCGCCGUCGCCUUCUCAAAUACUCCCCAAAUCCCACUUCCACGCCCAUCAUUUUCAAGCCAUCUGCUGACACCCUCCAAAUAACCAUCAGGCCCUCUAAUUCCGUCAAACAAUUAUUAGACCAGUCCGAAAUUAAACUGAAUCGAUUGAUUGAGUGUGGCCGUGAGGCGUUUGAUGACUUGAAAACAUUAGUCGUUGUCGAUGGUAGUACUGGAGGGGUUGUAAUUUCGUGUAGGAGGUCCACAGUUGAGUUCUUGGCGGCGCUGUUUAUGUCCAGUUUGGUAAUUGUAUUCAUUUUCAAGGGUUUAUUUAGACGAAGAAAAGGGGGCGGUGAAGUGUUGGUGUAUAAGAAAGAUCGGAGUCUGGGAGGGAGAGAAGUGCUAGUAGGGAAGAGGGAAGGGAACUGGGGUACUACCCCUAGAACGACGCCAUUGAGUUUGAAUGACUAUAGUGAUGAUAAAACAACGAAAAAUACUAGAAUGCGGAAUAGGAGGAAGGAAGAGUUGCCUCAAUGGUGGCCUCAGCUACUGAAUUCGAGUUCGAAUGUUAAUGAAAUGAUUAAUAAGGAGGAAUAUCAGAGAAUGGCUAAUAGAUUGGUUCGAGGUUGGUUAAAAGAAAUUUGCUCUUUGUUCUUUCUUAGACUUUGAUUUGAUUAUUUUGGUUGGUAUUAUGUUUGAUGGAGAAUGUUUCCAUAGUUUCAUGAUUCUUAGUUUACAUGGGCUUUGAUACGAUUUUAAUUCUUUGCUGCAUACAAAGUUCGUUAGGCUUAGAUAUUGUUGGUUUGAGACUUUGAGUAGUACAAAUAUGUAGGUUUGGGAAUAUGUUUCGUCGAUACAAGGUCACAAUAUAUACCGAAAAUUUCCUUGAAAUAUGUUUGAAUUUGAUUAAAAUGUGGUUGUUUAGUUCAUGAUGAUAUCGUUUGGAAAAAAGGGAAUUGCACUAUGUGUCAUUCUUCGGGCUAAAUUAUUAAGUUGAAACUCAUUAUUAGUAUGAAUCUGGUUCUCCGUCCUCAUGAUAGUUUAGAAAACCUGCACUCCAGAACCCCGUGAUGUGGUGGAUUGAGUGGCAAAGUUGCGUUUUGGGUGGGAGUGGUAGUGCUAGUGUGAGGAGGAGAAGGGCUGUAUCUGAUGGUUGCUUGAUGGUUCUUCGGCUAUUUAAGGAGCUGUUGGUGGUAUUAUGUCUAUCAGUGACGGUGGUGAUGUGUGGUUGUGGUUUGUUUAUGGCAUUGGAAAAUUGGGUUGCAGUGGUGGCUGUGUGAGUUUGCAAGAGAGAUUAAUUUUCUUUUCUAUCAAAUUACCAAUAAUAGUACGAACCAUACAUCUUAUAUGUACUCUUGUUAGAUGAGUCAAUUCAUACAAAAGAUAAACUGUAUUAUGACUUGGAUUCCUAAAAAUACAGGGACCUGUUUGGCCUAUAUGGGAAAAAAAUGUGUGUGUGUGUGUUUUUUUGUUUUUUGGCCCUGAUUACAUAACUUUCUCAUUAUAUAUUAUUGUUUAUUGAGGCUCAAGCAUUGGCAAACUAGUGUAGAUGCAUCAAUUUGUUGGCAUAGCAAGUUGUUUUUUCGUACCUUUUUACUCUUACAGUUGUUAUUUUGGUUUGAUCAAGUAUUGGUUGUUAUCACUUCCCAUGGUUGUCUGCAUGGUAUCAGAUGUUCUCUAGAAGGGGAAGUUAUUUUUUUAACAAUUAGUGAGUGCUCAGAAAAUUUUGAAGCAAAAAACUAGAGAUAUAUACACUACAAUGAAGGCACCAGAUAAGAGAAAUAAUAAUUUAAGAAAUCAGUUAUCAGAUUUAAUCCAUCAUAAAAAGCGUUGUCUGAUUAUGAAAUACUAUCUUCAAACUAAGUAACUUUAAGAGUAUGUCAGAGUCCCUUUUUUUUCUUUUUUUAAAAAAAAAAGGGAUUUGUAAUAGUGAUUUUUUCGGAGAUAAGUAGUUAAGAAAGUAGAUAAAAGUUUUAAGUUUACGUGCAAAUUUAAUUUAUUGGAAAAAUGUGUGUUUGAAAAUGAGUUUGAGAAAAAUGAGUUUUUUAGAGAAUGGGGGUUGAACAGCGGCUAAGUACAUCUAAAUUUGCAUAAAAUUAUGUCAUAUAUAACUCAAAUGUCAAAUAAAAGCAACAGCGAGGAUUUACCAAAAAAUGUUUGGUUUCCCCUUUAUUAUCUCAAAACAAAAGUAUUCCUUAAAUCUUAUUGCCACGUGAAGCCUUUGUUAAAGCUCACUUGCUCGCGCCGCUCUCUCUCUCUCUCUCUCGCGCACGCGCACGCGCACGAAGUUUCUACCCAUAAGAAUGUAUUGUUUAGGUCAUACUUUAAUAAUUAUAUAAGUUAUCAAAGAAAAGAAACACAUUUAUAUGUACUAGCUCAUUUACCUUUUUGCCCUUUUCUCACUAAACAUUCUUACCCAAAAACAAUGUUUAACGGAAAAUUAUAAUACAAGCUGCAUCACAAUGUCAUUCAAUUCCCCACCUCAUGUGCAGUUUCUUAUGUGCAUGAGAAGUAAAUCUUAAGAUUACUUAAUAUAUGAAAUGGGCAUGGCCUGUGGACAGCUACGAGGAUCUUGCAUGGAAGGAUUUUUGUUCAUUCUGAAUUAUAGCUGUUUUAGAUGUUUGUGUUGUAUAUUUGAUCUUUAUAUUUCAAUAUAGCCCAUUUAAGAAUAUUGGUUUUGUGCUUUUCAUCUAAAUUAGCUUUUAAUUGCCAGCAAUGAUGGACAACAAAAUGGCUGGGAAGGACAUUUCUGCGAAUGAUAUAAUUCAAGUUAGUAAAUUCCAACCAAUUUUGUUUUAUAAUAUCGAUAUAAUUGACUUUACUUUAGUCUUGCAACUUUUUCAUUAAUAUGUUAUAAAAAUUACAAAAAUGAAAUGAUUCCGUUUGAAUAGCAAAGGGUGAUUAAUCAAGCCCGACAAGGGGUUUUCCAACAAGCCUUACAAGGAGCUUUAGGAACUAUGAAUAGAAAUUUAAUCUUGGAAAUAAAGCAUCCCACCAUUUUUUACUACCCAGGGCUAUGAAGUCUUCGAUGGAGUAAAAGUUUAUCAUAUUGCUUCUUAGCGUGGAUUAAGAUUUGUUGGUAGGGUUGAACGGCAUGUGCUUUUAGGCAUUUAUUGUUGAUCUAUUAUUUGGCGUUCAAUGCACAUAAAGGCACGAUAACGUAAGGGAGUGCUGGAAUGGUUCUAUUUUUGUUUCAGAGAGGUACUCAUGUUUAAGGACAUUGUAUAAUGAGCAUUUGAUGGCAUAUAGGAAACUAUCCUUGCAUUUACAUUUUGAACUUUGCAGUACUAAUCUCUCUCUUCCGCAAUAUGAUAUCAAAAGUUUCUCUUUAUAUAGUAGGAUCCAGUGUGUUGACCGUGCUGCAAAUAAAGUUUUUGAUUUGUCAAUGGAACAAUUGGAGUUGGACUGUAGUAUCCAACAUGUGGUACCUAAUUAUUGCAACAAGUAGAUUCUGAGGAAUUUUAUCUUUGUGGUUACUCCAAAAUAAGUUCCAUUAAUUAAAGCUAACUUAGUUAAUGACCGUGUCAUAACCAGAAAUUUCUGUGGAAACUGCGAGUUAAAUGUGGAACAUUGUCCAAUUCCUAAGGCGUCAUUGUUCACAUUUGCAUAGUUGCUUAAGAUGGUGUGCUAACUCCCUUUGGAUAGCAUUGCUAUUUUGUGUUGAUUUUAUUGAAUUGAUUGGUCAGAGUAUUCCAAAGUUUUUCAAAUAUUUGAUAGCAGCAGUUUUAAGUUGCGCCAAAGUGUUGAUUUAAAUUUUUCCUGCUUAGCGCAGUUACAUCACAUAUGCAAGACAUUUGGAGUGAGAACCUCCAUUGAGACCGCUAAUGCACGGGAUUCACUUUAUCGGGCAGCAAUAAACUUGGUUCUCAGCUACUGCGAAAUGUAGGUGAAAUUCAUCUUGUAUAACCUUGUUUUAAAUUUAUAAUUACUUGUCACGGUCUUCUGUCUUCUAGGCUUAUUUUUCUUUCACAUACAAGUAACUUAAAUUUGAUCUUCUAUAGCAUAGCGAAUAAAUCCACCUCUGUCCAGAUAAAUGGUGAGGAUGCUCGACAGUUCAUUGCUGGGCUUGCUGAUAACAUUGGGCUUGAGAACACUCGUGCUGCCAGAAUGGUGGCAGCGGCUGUUGCUGCACGCACACGGUCAAGAAUUCUACAGGCAUGGGUGAGUUAUUUUUUCUUGUUCUUGAGACUUUUUUUCCUUUCAUUUUUUGCUAGAUAUUUUAUUUCGAAGAGGACCAAUACCUUCACCAGAUUAAAGCUUAUGUAGUUCUUAUCCCUUUUUUCCGCAUAAACAAUAUUCGAGGAGCAGUAAGUCUUCGGUUACUUUAUCUCAUUUCUAAAAGAAGAUAUACAAUUGCAUAGUGAUGUUCUACAAGGGUUAAUUGUUUCAUAAAUUUCCUUGCUCUUCCUUGUCAAUAUUGAAAGAAAUGUGAUGAUAAUCUGGUACUUCUGUUAUUAUGUACAUCAUCUAUACUAUGUCAUUGAGGUUUUGACUGUGUUUCAAAUGCUAUCAUAUCAGGCAUUAGAAGUUCAAGGUAAACAUUCUGAAGCACUCUUCGAACUGUCAAAAAUAUGUCUCAUUCACAGGGUAUUCCCUCCUCCAAAGUGCUCGGUAUGUGAUUCCAACUCUUGCUUGCUUUAUGAAGUUCUGUAGUCUCCUUUCUGCUUGUUGGUGCUAAAGUUUUCCAAUUUGAGGAUAUAACUACAUGGAUAUCUUGUAAUCUGUUAAUAAGCAGUAUUUUGAUAUUGAUAUUCCCUUCAAAACUAAUGAUGAAUGAUCAGUAGCUUGCAUUAUCUUCACAAUCUCCUUUGAAAAUGGACAUAAUUAGUCUAGUUGCACACACAUGGACACACGACACUGGCACGACACAACACGACACGAUACGGACAUGCCGGCAACUCAAUUUUUCCAAAAAAUAGGACAUGGACCCGGACACGGACACGUUGAUUUAAAUGUUUCAAAAUUAUAUAAUAUUCAUAUAUUAUAUCUUUGUUUUUAUAAUUUUUAAUAUAGGACACAUGUCGAGACACCUUCCCUAAGGAUGUCUUAAAAGUAUAUUUCGGGUGUCGCUAAUUUAUUAAAUAUGCAAAGAAUUGGACAAUGGCACAUGAAUUGGACUCCGACAUGGCAUGACACGUUGAACACAGACACUCUGUCCUAGUAGAAAAAUAGACACACUUGUUUUAAAGUCUCUAUAAUGGUCAAUUCUUCCUUUUUAAAUUCGUGAAUAACAAAAAGAUGGAUACACUUGUUAUGCAUGUUGUCUGGAAUUAGACUUUGAAAGAUGAGUUACUCUGAGUAAACUGCAAUCACUUUAUAGCAUGUUGAUAUUAUGGGCUUUCACUGAUCAUUCAACACGGUUUAUGUGUUGUCUACUAGCUAUUCUUGUUCAAAAAUGAUGGUGCUUAUUUUUUAAUCAUCACUCUACAAGGCCAUGUUUGUUAAGAAUUCCAUUUAAGUGGAUAAUUUAGUCACCUUUCAUUAAAUAAUUGCUAUUUGGAUUAUUCUCCCUGUCAUUGCAAAGUUGGGAGAGUUUCAGUUAACUGGCAUGUGGUUUUUUGGUGAAUACUCCAAAUAACUUAUGAUGGUCAUAUUUUUAUGAUGUCUUUGCAGCCUGAGAUGGAAAUGGUUGCUCGAGGCCUUGAAAAUCAUUUAAGUUUAGAUCAAAGAGAGUUGAUAUUAGAGUCACUCAUUAACGUUUGUGGCGAAGAGACGCAGAGAAGUUUUGUGGAAGCAUUGGGAUUGGUAUGUCCAUUCUCUACUUCGAUCUUCAAAUCCUCAGUGGUGCUUUAUAGUUGUCUUAAUUAGUUUGUUAAUGUCUUAUUCACUGAGAAAACUAUUUCAUAUUCGUUAUUGACUUGAUGUUUAAGGUAAUAGAGUACUUGAUAUUUUGCUGACACUAAACAAAAUGCACAGUAUGAAAUUCUAUAUUAACAUGUAGUGGCACUUCCCCAGACCUUUAAAAUUACAUUAACCAUCAAAGGUUUUCAAUUCAAGGCUUCUCAAUUUAGUACUUAUAUAUUCCUACCUUUAUUUUACUAAUAACAUAGUGGUAAAACUGGCAUUUUAAAUUGAGAAUACUUUGCCAGUUUAGUUAAAAGUCACUCAAUUUGACCAAUUUUUCAUUUUUGUUAAUGGGUUCGCGAAAAUAUUUUUCACAAUAUUAUCAGUAAAACCUCGAAACUGUUUUUUACCCUUUUAACCUUUUGUUCGUUUUUACCUUAACACAGGUAGGUGUCAAAGAUAGCCAAGAUAACAGGUAUGCGUAAAUUCAGCAAUAGAACUCACAUUGUUUUCUAAUUGGAGUUGUAGGCCACUGAAAUACAGCGAUUAUACAGUGUAUCACAUUUAUUCAGAUAUAUUUAAGAUAUUAUAUUAUCAACAUGCUUUCGGUAUGGAUUUUUUUCAGUUGAAUACGUGGUAAUGUUGAUGGAAAUAGUAAUCGGUUGUGGAAUGGGAACAUGGUCGUCUUGUACUGUCUGUAACAAGUUUAGUAUCAAAAUCAAACAAUGCAUAAUAAAGAAGGUUUCAUGAGCCUAUUCUUUUAGUUGGUUUGAAUAUGAACUUGGAGCACCUACAAGUUGAUCUGAGGAACAACUUGUAACAUAAGGUGAAUACCACAGGUGAAAAGGAAUUUUCGAUUUAUGAUAUAAGCUUACCCAUACGUCUUUAUAAUAGACAAUUAUUAAUUUUACACAACACUUUUUGAAUUUUCGUUUUGAGUAAUGUUAUUUAGCAGCAGUCUAAGUGACAGUGGAAGUAGAUGGAUCUAAGUGACAAUGGAAGUAGAUGGAGCUCAUAUAUAAUUGUCAAUAAAGUUGUGAUUCAUUUUGGUUUAUUGGACAAUUAUAGGUGGGUCCAUUGCCAACUAGUUGAUAUAUAUCUUUUGAAAAUCUUCGAACAUUGAAUCUUACUUUACAUAGAAUUUACGCAACACAGCUUUGUGAGUUCAAGUUUAUUUUGUUGAGAUUGUUUAUAUUGCCCCUCAUGAGAUUGUGCUUAACUGCUCGAUCAAUUAAACUGCACCAUCGAUUUUUCCAGUGAAGCAAUCGUUAGCAAGCCAUCUUCCCAAUAAAUUUUGGCAAAAAAAUGAGGGAGAAAAUCUCAUUUCACAAGUGCUCAUAAAGACGAAAACUAAUAGUUGAGUUGUGGAUUUUUUAUUUUUUCUAUUACAUGAAGAUUGUUGGAUGAUGUAUGACUUCUAACUGAGGGUAUUUACUAAUGAAAUGCUCUGAGGAAUUUAAAACAAUCGUUUGACUUCUCUAGUUUGCCUAAUUUAAAUGGUGAAAAGUUCAGGUUGGAUCUUACUAAUAAAUGUAGAGGCUACAUUUAUUUGUGUCGAUAAUCGUACUAGUUAGUCAUUUUGAGUGUAAUUCUAUUGAUUGUACUUGUUUUUGUGUGUGUAAGAAAUAGGAAUGAUAAAAGAGUAGUGAUAUAUGUACAUUUUUCGUGGGCAUAAUCGUUGACAUUUCUUUACACAUCCCUUCACAUGGAGGGGGGCUUGCACCGAAAGUGUAUAAAUAGGUUUAUCCAUGGUAAAAUAUCUUGCCCCGUGGAAUUGUGGCAAGGAAGGGAGCCUGGUUCCGGCACUGACUCUUCAAUUUUUCUAUGCAUUAAAAUUUAAAUUAUAUUUAAAAUAAUAAAAUAAAUGAAUUAUUAAAUGGAGUUGAAAAUUGAGUCCUAUUUGGUAAGGAUUAAAAUCUAGAUUUUAAUUUUAAUUUUAAUUAAUAAUUAAUUUUAAUGACUUAUUUUAUAAGAUUUGAAAGUUGUUAACAAUACAUUUCGUCAGUUUUUAUCAAAAUUUAUUAAAAAUUUGAUAUUAAUUCCCGUCAAACAGGGCUGGAGAAUAUUUUAAUUCUUGACCCGCUCUUUGGAAAUCUAAGCGGAAUGAGGGAGGGUUGCCGUAUUGCCAUCCCUACUUAGGAAUGCCUUCGAGCUUACGUAACAAAAUUGAAACAAUAAAUGCAUUCAAUAUUAAUAAUAAUAAUCUGUUUUAAUCAAUCUUGGUUCAUUUGUUAUAUAGGUUGGUGAUACUCAGCAUUCAAUCGUACUGCAAGCAAUAUAACACAUUCAGUUAUAUUGCAAGCAAAAAUAAUAACAAAUUUUUAGUGGGGAUAAAGAUUGUCAUUAUACACAACUGAUGGAACACAAAAAACGAGUACCAAAGAGAGGACACAAAUUUGUGUAUUUCAACCAACUACCAUAUGCACAUGGGCCCUAGAGGGACGAGGGUCCAUUUGGCGCGCCCCCUAUAGGUAGGGGGUUUGCUCUGGAUGUCAAUCACGAUCCUAUGUAAAUGUAAAUGUGAGAAUUAAUUAACUAAUCAAAAGUUAUGUUUUUGUUAAAUGGUGACAUGACACUUUUUAACCAAUUGGAUAGAACAAAUUCGAACUUGGCUUCUUAUACUAGUCGAUCAAUGGAAAGGAUGGAGUAGAAAACUCUCCGAUGCUUAGGCUAGUGGGGUUGGACAAGGCUGAUUUUGAGAGAAUUUUUGUGAAAAAUUGUUUACCUUCUCAUGUAUAGGGGUAGUGGGAUCAACAUAAUCUGUAUCACAUCAAUCAGUUUUGACGUUACGUGUAACUUCCAUCAGAUCAAGGGUGCUAAGUGCUGUGUGUGCAUUAGUUGAGACCCAUUUUUUAUAUAUAUAUAUAUAUAUAAAAUAAAUAAAUCAUUUUUUUGAGGCCUUUUUUCUUUUUCUUUUUCCUUUUUUUUUUAAAUAAAUCAUUUUUCAUUCAAAUUAUGCGAGAUCUAAAUAGUAAAUUAUCAGAAGGACAAUGUGGUGUUUUUUAUUGGUUGGCUGCCUACGAGAACUUUGCUUGAAUGUGGCCCUGUCUAUCUAGGAGGGCGAUGUGGCGCCCCCUAUUGAUUGGUUGUCUGCUAGCCAUUUAUGGCCUAUCUAUCAAGAAUAAUUCUUGAUUCUAAAAUUAUCUUAGACAAACCCCUUUCGAAGAGAAUUAUUCUGCAAGAAUGGAAAAAAUAGAUAGAAUCUCUAUAAGCGUUGCGUUGAUAAUACUUUUAUGACUGUUUAUUUUGGUGAUAAUUUGUUAAGUGUCCAUCUGUAUAAUUUCUAUUAAAAAUUUUCUAUACCUAUAACAUUAUUGUUUCAAGGAUCAAUGUCAUUUAUAUAGAGAAAGGGUAGAUUGUACAUGUCUGUGACAGUUCAAGGGUAAAGUUGGAAGGCAAAGGAUGCACAUACUAGCAACAUCUGCUUCAUUUCAUUAAUCAAUCAUAUUACAUAUACAUCAUCUUUUACAUUUUUAUUUACAUUAUGCCAUGUGACAACACAUCAUUAAACAAUUUUUUUUCUUCUAAACCACACUUUCUCGCCCUCAACUUUUUGAACUCUAAUGGGAUGUGCACAAUGAUGUCAACCCCACAAUGUACACAUAGCGUUAUUUUUUUUUUUUUUUAAUAUUGAAAAAGCCACAUAUUAUUUAAUACAAUUUACUGUUCAUAUUUUGGGAAAAAAACCGCUAAAAAUUUGGUUUUUAUUCGGAUCAAAUAGGAUCUUAGUUUGUAAGAUUAAAGAAACACCGAUCACCUUUUUAUCGCGCCUCUGCCGUGUUUUUAACACUUGAUUUCAACACCAUGUUACGUAAUAAAUUAAAGUUGGACAUUUGUUUAUUUUUCAUUUUUAUGUACUAGGACUGAGAGCGACUAGCCACCAAAUUUUUACUAUCUUUUUUAUUAUUAUAUUUAAUAAUUAUUUAAUUGUAAUAUUUUGUGUAGAUAUCAUUAUUUUACUAAUAUUCUUCAUAGGAACAUUUGUGACAAUGAUAUUAAUCGUGCUACUAGCCGUCCAGCCAGCAAAUCAAGACAUUGUCGAACUACUUUAAGUCCGUCUAGUCUAGUUUACACCCUUUUGCCAGAUGUAUAAAUUUGUCCUAAAAAUCGAUGUACACAUCAAGAAACAACUACUUUUUACUAUAGUUGAUAUAAUGAUACCGAUAGCCAGCAAAAUAAAGUCACGAGUGAGUCAAGUUAAAGUGAAUUUAGUACCAUCGAACUCUGAUAACUUAGAAAAGGGAAAAAAUUUUGAGAAGCCAACAAUGAUGUUUGUCAAUAUCCAAUAUAUUAGUAAGAGGAAUCAUUUUAUACCAUAGUACUCCUCAUCCCCUAAAAAUGAACUUGCUUUCCUUUUUUAUUUGUUCCAAAUUAUAUGUCACUUUUCUAGUUGAGGGUAUGGUAGAUUUUCUAGUUUUCUAAUAUUCCUUAAUUUAAUGUGUCUCGUUAUCAACAAAUAUGGAAUAUUUCUAUUGAAAUCAUUAUUUAAUGUAGGAGUGCAUUAGGAGAAAUAUAAAUAAAAUUUAUAUUUUCAACUACGUUAAUUACAAUUUCUUAAUUUGUGUGAAAAUAGAAAUAAGCUUAUCUUUAUUGGACGGGUGAAGUAUUUUUUAUAACUAUUAUAUUUAUAUACGUUGUCUAAAUUGAUUUAGGUCUUUUAUACCUGUGAACUUACUAUGUAAUAGUGCAAAAUAGAGCAACAUGGUGGAACACCGAUGGAAUUGGGGAUUUCAUAAGAAAAAUGUAAUUCGUUUUGAAUUUUUCCUUCUCUUUCCUUUUUUCAUGAAAAUGCUCAAUUAUUGCAAGUUUGUUUUAUACACAACUUGUUUUAAAGUUCUCAACACUUUCUUCGAAAUUAUAAGAAAAUGGCCACUACUAUGUUUGAUGUAAUAAUAUAAAGUGUCGUUUGAUGGACGAUUGCAGAAAUGUUUAAAGAAUGUUGAAUCAUCUGGACAUAGAAAAUCAACGAUUUUGUCAAAAGAGAAGAUAUAUUUCUCUUGAUUCAUUAUCAAUGUUCUUUGCUUUUGUUUCUUGAAUUUUCUCUCUGUAUAAUAUACUGAUUCUCGCAUCGAAUGAAAAAUCAAGAGAAGUUUUCGAUUUCUUUUUAAAAAAUUAUAUUUGAAUAAUAUUAUUUAUAUAUGCAAUAUCAAAGAUCGGCAUAUAUCUUUUAUGUUUAAAAAAAUUGAAUUUUCUCAACGAAGUCUAAAUUUUGAGGCCAUCAUAGAAAAUUUUCUCAAACAAAACAAAUUGAUUAAAGCCAAAUUUAAAAAGUAAGAGUCAGAAAUUUUUUAUUCAUUUGUUUAUUUAAAGACAAUGAUAAAGACGUAUACGAAAUGACUAGGAGAUUUCUUUAAAUAUGAAUAUGUUGACCUUAUCCAUAUUGUUUGGUGGGAUUUUAGGUUUUUAGAGAUGAAGGACCAAUCACGUUGUCCAAAUCAUAUAGUCUCCGAUAUCAUAAUUUCACGUGCGAAUUCAGAUCGACAUAUUUGUCUCAAUUUGUAUACAAAUUUUAUUGAUGGUUUACUCGUAAAAUUAAAGUCAAACAUUAAUUUCAGUCACACGAAACUAUUGUUAAUUAUUAUUUGCACAUUUUAUAGGAUAUAUAAUUAUUUCUCUUUAUAAAUCAUUCAUAAAUAGAGACAGUACAAGCUCUGUAACGCUCCUAAAGUUGACACUACCAACAUAUGGCGGAUGAUUGCAACCUUAGUCCGGAAUGAAUAUAAAGCCACGUUGAUGACGACCGAACUAUUACAUAGAUUUAUGUUCAUUAAUCUCGGAGGGCUUUCACUCCAACAUAUCUUCACUUAUGAGUCGAUUUUUAAAAUAAUAAAAUAAGAGGUUCUCAAAUUUAAUUAUUUUAAUAUAUUAUUUAAUUUUAAUCAAAUUAUCCACGCGAUACCAUAUCCAUUUGCAUUUGUUCUUAGCCACGACAUAUCCCAAUUCACAAGUCUUAUUCUAUGUUUGGCCCACAUUUUUUAAAAUUAAUUUUUCUUAAACUCAACCACAUUUCUUAGGAUUAACAACUUUUAUCAAAUUUUCAACUAAAAUUUCACCUACUUUUAUCAAAAUUUAUUAUAAAUUUGAUUUUCAUCCAUACCAAACAGGGUCUUAAUAUUUUAUAUAAAAAUUUAAUUAAUUGUUAUUACUUAUUAUUAGUAAUAUUGUUUUUUGUGUUAACCAGUGGGAAAUUUGCACAAAUAGUCCUUAACCUAUAAGCCCCUAUGCAAAUGGUUCCUAAUCUUCAAAUCACUGCACAAAACUCCGUAACCUACCACUUUCGUUUACCAUUUUAUUAUAUUAUUUUUUUAUAGUACUCAUUUUCAACCACACGUUAUUUAUUAAAAUAAUAUUACACAUAAAUUAAAAAUAUUUCUUCUUUUUUAACUAAACAUUUCAACAUCAAUCACUAUUCUAAAAUACAUUAUUCACAAAUAAUGAGGCACAAACACCCCCACAGUUUUUACUUUUCAUAUGUAGUACUAUAUUUUAGUUGUAGUAAAAAUUCACUUCAUUUGCUUGUUGUAAACUUUUUUGCCCAUAUUUUAUUUUAAUUUUCAAUUGAUUAACAUAUUUUAUCUCUAACAAUAACAUUUUUUAUCCAACUUUUAUUUAUUAUUAUACUUAUAUUCCAACAUUUACUUAAUGUCACAUUAGUAACAUUUUUUAAUGAUAGGUUUUUAUGUUAUGCGUGACGAUUUAACGAUUACUUAUAGGAGUUGUAUAUAUUAGUUAUUUGUACCAAUUUCCCUUAAACAGUAGAUUUUUUUAGUCAAAUAAUUUUUUUUUCUCAUUUCAUGGAAAUUAUUAUAUUUGAUGGUUAUGGAUUUGUUUUUUGAUUUUAUUUUUCUGCUUUGACAUGUAAAUUUUAUGCAUGAAGGUUUGUUUUUCCAAAAAAUGGAAAACUUGUUAUAAUAACUUUAAUAGGUUUUUUUAAAUAUAAGAUAUUUUUAUAUUAGAGAGUCAAUGCCUCUCUACUUGUAGAAAUAUUCUAUUUUUCAUUGUCAGGUAAGACUAGUCGAUCUUCUCAUAAGCAAUUUAAAAAUUAUAAAUUUAAAAAUCAAAUUAAAAUAAUGUAAAUUUAGAUAGAAUCACAAGAUAAUUGGGCACGAAUUUCGAAAUUGUCCGCACGCAUUAUAGGUGACUGUGACGCACCACCAGGUAAUGUUCAUUCAUUUAUUUCAGCGCCGACUGAAUUGUUUUAAAUGUAUUGGUGUGCAACACGUUAAACAUAAAUAAACAAGACUAUAAAAUUUCUAUUCAACAAAUAAAACGAACUCCCCGUUUUAACUAAGAAAAAUAUAUAAAAGAUUUUAAAAUAUGAAGAUUAAUAAAACCUUCUGGUCAGCAGAAAAACAAAUAGAGUAAUGCUAUUCAUAGUCGCUUACUGCAGUAAUCGUCCUAUGUGGCAUUCUAUAUACGCGAUUUGUGAUUUGAUAAAUUAAUGUUGUAGUUGUUUAUUGUCACAUAUAUCAAAUCAUUAACCGUUACAUGCAUGUUACAUAGGAUGAGUAGUUGCAAAUAGCAUUAUUCAAACGGGUAUUAUAAGAAUCAGACUCCAUUGUAUAUAAAAAAACUUUUUAGGUGAAUGGCAUUUAUAGAAUUUUAAAAAAUCUCAAAUCGAUCUAAUUUAUAUGGAAAAGAAUCUAAAAUAUAUAGAAAAUGGUAAAUUAAUCAAGGAUUCUUCUCAUUGCCAGAAUAUCAAGUAUUGUAAGAACUAAAUUGAACUUUUCGUUACAACUAAAAAAAUCAAUCUAAUUGUAUGAAAAAUAUAGAAGUUGGUAAAUAAUGAAAGAACCUUCUAGUCGAGUAGUGAAUUAGAAUCGAUUUUUUAUAUACCAGUUUGAUCUCAAUUUAAUCAUAUGCAUAAACUCUUAAAAAAAAAUAAAAAUUUGUACCAAAUCUCACCAUUAGAAUAAUAUCAAAUUCUCUUUGUUAUCGUGUUCAUGCAAAAUUUACGUUCAACAACCCCAAAGAGCCUUCAAUGAUCAACGAUGGGAACGAUGGGUUCAUGCACAAAUUUAUUUUUACAAUCAUGCAACAUGAAUAUCAAGGUUGACAUAAAGUUAAUAUAAUGCUAAAUGGCAUGUUAUUAUUUGACACUUCAAAAUACACUCAACUUUAUCAUUCAAUUAUCUACUGUUACAUUUAAUUAUGUCGAGUUUUAUAUCAAAUCUUUCUCAGGCCCCGUUUGAGUCCCAUUAAUUUCUUGUAACGUAUUAUAGAAUAGUAAAUUGAUGAAAAAUAUAUGAUUAAAAAAGAAGAAAUUUUUUUUGAUUUACGUAUAAUAUAAUUGUAGUGAAAAAUGUGUGAUUUAAAAUGAGUAAUUUAAAAAAAAAAAUAAUGAAAAACGAAUGGGAGAAAAUGGGGCAGGGGCUUAUAAAAGUAGCUUUAUCCCUAUUUUUAAUCAUUCUCAAAAGCUUCCACUAGAGACUUAUAAAAUUGACAAGUCAGUACUCAGAUUAAUUCCGGCUUAUCAGUUUAAUUUAAUUGGAUUAUCCACGCGUCACAUCAGCGCCCAUUUGCUCUAGCAUGAACCUCUAUUCUAUAAAGUAGCAGUCCAAAAAUACAAAUAUUUGCUGGAAAAUUCAAUUAGAACAGAAAAUUCUCACUUUUUUAAAACUAUUUGCAAUUUUUUAAUAUCAUAAUCUCCCAAAAUCUUGUGUUUUCCAAUUUUAGCUAUGAAUUUAUAGCCUUCAUUAGCAGAAUCUCAUUUACUCUUCUUUGGUAUAUCUUUGUGCUGCUCUGUCUUGUGGAGUGUUGCCGUUAGGAAAAACUUCUAUAUAUUAUAGACCCUUUACUUGUUUUUGCAAUCUUGAUUUUUUGUUAUAGUUUAAACCCUCGAAUCGGAAACCCUAAGCAAAAAGUCCCCAGCGAUUCAGUAAUUUACCCAUUUUUCUUGUCGUUGAAUCUGUAAAUCAUUAGGCAGUAGUCUAAAAAAUUGCCGAUAAUUUACGAGGAAAUUUGAACUGAAACUGCAAGAGAGGAUGACGAUCGAGUCGAUGCCAGGAAGUUCAGGGUACAUAGAAGUAGGAAAUAGAAAGAUAACCUAUUUCAGCAACGGUUAUGUUUUGGGGUUGACUGUUGUUGCGGGUAUUGGUGGUCUUCUUUUUGGCUACGACACUGGUAAUUUUUUUUUUUUUUUUUUUUAAAUCUUCUUUUUCAUUUUGUCUGCUCUAGUAAAUUGAUUGUAAAUAUUUAAUUCACGAGCUUGGAAUUUUGAAAUGUUUGUAACCGUUGACAUUUAAUUUUGUUGGAGAGGCAUAGUGAUUUGUCUCCUCAAACUUGUGGGUUGAAGCUCUAAUGCAUGAGAUUUUUUUGGAACUUCGAAAUAUUUUCUAUUCACAAACAUAAGAAAAAAUAAUUUAGAGAUAUAAUCUAGAGUCUAGACUUCAUCUUUUUCACUUCAUCUUUUCCAGUUUUACAGUGUUGGGUUUUCUUUUUCUUUUUUUGAUAUGUUAAUGUACUUAGCUGUCUCCCUCCCCGACGACAAUACAUAUGCACGAAAAAGAAAUUCAAUAAAAGUAGCUAGAGCCUAGAUGGAUCAUAAUAAUCACUAGUUGGUUGCAGGAGUUAUAUCGGGAGCCCUCCUGUAUAUUCGUGAUGAAUUUGAAGAAGUCAAUCAAAGUCACUUUCUUCAGGUAUGUAAGGCUAAUUGUUAUCGUUAUAAAGUGAUAUGCAAAAAUUCCAUAUUUUACUCAUGGAGAGUGCCCCUACAAAAUAUGGUGGAAAUGGAAAUGUAGUUCCUUUGUAGUUUUGAUUAAGCAUGAGAAGAAACCAAAAAGGUGCUGUGCAAUUAAAGUCGUGGGAGCCAGCUGUGAUGAUUUUGUGCUUUCCGUGGGAUGUUGUUUAGUUGAUAGCGAAGAAAUUGCGUACCAGUGGCUUUUGUUGUUUUAAGAGAAAUUUUCUGGGAAGGUGAUUGAUUUGAAAUACAGCAGAAGGGAACAUAAUUAAUAAUUUUUUACUACUAAUCUUAAGAAUGAAAAUUUUUACUCUCGGAGGUGGUGUAAUUGAAGAGCGGAAAUUGUUCGUUCUUUUCUUUCUUUCUCAGUGUGUGUGAAUGUGUUUGUCUCUCUCAGCCCCAUUCCCAAACUGACUGGAUUUUUUAUUAUCUACUUUCUCAAUCUUUCGUGCUCUUUAUGUAUUAAAGUUUCUGUUCCAACGAUUUGACAGGAAACAAUUGUCAGUAUGGCUUUGGUCGGUGCAAUGAUUGGAGCUGCCAUAGGAGGCUGGGUAAAUGAUUCUUAUGGACGUAAGAAGGCUACUCUGUCAGCUGAUGUUGUUUUCGCUCUUGGAUCUGUAGUCAUGGCUGCAGCUCAGAAUCCUUAUGUUCUUAUUUUUGGACGUUUCUUGGUUGGCUUGGGGGUGGGGGUUGCAUCUGUUACUGCUCCUGUGUAUAUUGCUGAGGCUUCCCCUACAGAAAUUAGGGGAGGCCUUGUCAGCACAAAUGUGCUAAUGAUCACCGGUGGACAAUUUCUUUCAUACCUUGUGAAUCUUGCAUUUACAGAGGUCAGAUUUUUCUUACUCUUACUCAUUCUUUAAUAUGAUCUAGGUUUUUACUCCAAUUCUUCAUUUUGUUGGUUUUUCAUUGAUUCACAUUUGUUAUGUCUUGCAAUGAGGUAACUUUCCUCGUGUCAAAUGAGAUAAAUCUGUUUCCGAAACCUAAUUUUUAUGGAUAAUGGUUCUGGAAGAACACUAAAUUUACAGAGAAUGCAAAUUAGAUGUGCAGUCCAGUUGAGCAUGAACAAUAAAAGUUUUCACCUUCUUGUAGUCUUAGUUAUGGAGUUUUGAAUUAAUUUAAAAUUCUCAAAUUACACCAAAUGAUAGAUUGAUGAAUUGGACAGAACAAUGUACAGACUUCCACUGUUUUUCUUGUCUUGGUGCAAGUGUUUUUUGUCUAUUAACUUAAGAAUUUGAAACUAUUUAUAUAGUUCAUCCAUAAUGAUAUUAUUAAUAGAUUAAGCUUUUCUUACAAACUUGCCUAAAAUAAUAAAAAAUGUACACUAGAUAGUUCUUUAAUUUUUGGUUGAGAAGCUGGUAAUUUUUGAGAUAGUAUGCGCUAGGGCUGGAUAUGGUCCGGUUCGGUUCUAACGAGAACCGAACCGACCCGAAAUUUUCGAGUAUUUAGUAAGUGGAACCGUCGGGUCCAAAUUUAAUUACAGAACCAUUCGGGUUCGGUUCCAUUCGGUUCGGUUCGGUCCGAUUCGGUUCCAUUCGGUUCCGUAUUAUAAUUAAAUUUUUUAAUAUAUACAAAGUCACAUUAAUUUAAUUAAUGAUAUAUUUAAUAUUAGCUCUUACAAAAUAACGUAGUUCAAUUUUAUGUGUUUCACGUCUCUCUUUGCUGAAUUUUUCAUAAAUUUGAUUAUUAAAAUUACAGAAAAAGAAAGAUAGCGAGCUCAAAAUAAUUAAGAGAGAUGUUGUAGAGUUUUAAUUCGAUUUUCUCCGGCAGAAAGGACACUACAGUAGAAUAACGGAUUUGGAUAAAAUUGAGGUCUAUUUGAUUAAGUCGAUUUUGAAUUGAAUAUUAGAAAUAGGAAAAUCAUAUUUUGUGGUUUGAACUAAAUUAACUAGUUAAUAAAUUUAUUUAGAAAAAAUAAAAUAAUUUUACUUAUUUAAAAUUAAUUAAUUUAAAAAAUUAUGGAGAUUCGGUUCUUAUUCGGUUUUUCGGGUCUUGGCCUAGAACUGAGAACCGAACCAUACCCGUCGGUUCUUGAUUCAAAUACCCGUUCGGGUAUUUAACUUGAGAAGAACCGUCGGGUUCGGUUCUGUUCGGUUUGGUCGGUUUGGUUCGGGAGUUUUGUCCAGCCCUAGUAUGCGCAUUCUUCAUUGUAGGUUUAUUUAACUAAAUGCAACCAUAAGUGACUGACUAUGCAUCAAUGGACAUUAGAGUUUCAAUUUGAAGUUUUUAUUCAAAUAACAAUCAUGUUUUGAAAGUAAUACUUUUCUUGUUUGUCCUGUAAGCCCUUCUUUCUAGCCUAUCUUCAGACAGUUCCGAGAAUGAUUGGAGGCAUCAAAAUCAAUUUACUUCACACACGAAAGAUAUAUUUGCAUCUAUUGAUUCUAUGUACCUAAUAAGUUUUAUUUGCUCAUGCUUAUUACAAUGCUUCCUUGGCAUGAAAGGUUUUCAAUUGUGCAGUUCUGGCGAGGCAGCAUGAAGAUAGAAUAUUGGGAUUGCGUUAUAAGUUUUCUCAAUGAGUAACACAUCACCAAAGGAAACUGUUCUGUUCUUUUCUUGCCACUAUUAUUUGUAGUUUGUUUCGGUGGAUUUCAGCUUGUUGCUGCUUAAUGUGCUCAAAUCUUGUUUGUGUUAUGAUGAACCAUUACAUUUCUUCUUUACUAAUUCUUGCUGAAUGUAACUUUUAUUUGUACUCAUAUAUUUGUCACUAGGCUGCUUUCUUCUGCCCCUGCAAUAUUUGGCCAAUUGUCAAUGUCAGUUAAUUGGUAGAGCGUAUCGUUUCAUUCAUGUUUCCUUUUCUCCAAUGUCUAUGUCGAAACGUUAUCCAUUAGGUCACAGGACUGGUUUACAAUAAAUUUGAACAUAUGCAUGAGAACAUGUUAGGUUAAGCUUUCAAUGUUUUCUUUCCUCCAAUAAUUGUGUGAUGUUAUCGAUUAGGUCUUAGGAUUGAGUUAUGAUAUAAAUAAACAUAUUUUUCAGAACACUUUAGCUUACAUUAGGCAGCUUAAAAGUUGAAAAAGUGGUCAACGAAGAGGCAGCCCAACUAUGAUAUACUGUUGUGUUCCUCCUUUUCAUCUCAUGCUUUAUUAUUCAUAUUUUGUUUGGUAAUAACUGCCAGUUAUGGUUUUAUUACAACAUGAUAGAAAUAUACAGAGGUUAUUGGAAACUGCUCAUUGGCUCAUUAAUGUCCCUGAUUCUUAUAAUAAUUAAUACUUUUGAUAUCUUGGCAUCGCUAUUCUCUUCUGCAUGGAGUGUAAAUAUUCAAUACAUAUAAUUACUAUUGUGUAAAAGGCUAAAGGUUUGUCCACAUAGUGACGAUUAUUAGAUUAUGUGAUUAGUUGUAAUGAAUUUUUAAAAUGUCCUAACAGUUCCUGAUAUGAAAUUUAUAGUUUCUGUAGGUUCCAGCUUUUGGUAUUGUCUGAGGUAUGUAUUUAAAUGUGUAGGGUGCUCGCUCCUCAGAAAAUUUGACGAUAUCUCAUUAUUUUGGUCAAAUUUAAGCUUACCUCCCAAUAAAUACACAAAUUUUCUUUGACUUGAAAGGUGUCCAUUUUAUGUUACAAACAAAUUGUUUACACCCACAUAUCAUCCCAUUCCACGAGUUUGCUCCAUUUCUGUCUCUGAUGGACCCAGGAAUCUAAGUGUAUGUAAAUAUGAAGCUUCUAAAGUUGGUAAUUUUCUUUCUUUUACUAAUUAUAAUUAAUUGUCCAUUGCUAUCUUGCUUACCUAGCAGUACUUUUAACAGUUUUAGUUCAAUGUUUGGGAAUAGUUUAUACAGAAAGACAAGUAAACAAUUAAAGGGAGGGGACUUGGUGAAUUAGUUUUAGUCGGUAAAUGAUUUGUUUCUAUAUGCUAUUUUGCAUCAACUGGGGAGGCAUGAACGCGUUGUGUAUAUAUAUCUCUUAUUCUAUUUGUGAUUUUUUCGUUAUUUAAAUGGGUGAGCAGGUUC
rnacentral:lncRNA from 1 species